rnacentral:rRNA from 1 species
CCUACGGGUGGCAGCAGUGAGGAAUAUUGGUCAAUGGGCGCGAGCCUGAACCAGCCAAGUCGCGUGAGGGAGGACGGCCCUACGGGUUGUAAACCUCUUUUGCCGGGGAGCAACGGGCGCCACGUGUGGCGUCACUGAGAGUACCCGGAGAAAAAGCAUCGGCUAACUCCGUGCCAGCAGCCGCGGUAAUACGGGGGAUGCGAGUGUUAUCCGGAUUUAUGGGGUUUAAAGGGUGCGUAGGCGGAUCGAUAAGUCAGUGGACAAAUUGAGGGGCUCAACCCCUUCCCGCCAUGGAAACUGGCGUUCUGGGGUGGAAGAGAAGUAUGCGGAAUGCGUGGUGUAGCGGUGAAAUGCAUAGAUAUCGCGCAGAACCCCGAUGGCGAGGGCAGCAUGCCUGCUUCCGACUGACGCUGAAGCACGAAAGCGUGGGAUCGAACAGGAUUAGAUACCCUUGUAGUC